rnacentral:rRNA from 1 species
AACGAACGCUGGCGGCAGGCUUAACACAUGCAAGUCGAACGCACCUUUCGGGGUGAGUGGCAGACGGGUGAGUAACGCGUGGGAAUCUACCCUUCUCUACGGGAUAGCUCCGGGAAACUGGAAUUAAUACCGUAUACGUCCUGAGGGAGAAAGAUUUAUCGGGGAAGGAUGAGCCCGCGUUGGAUUAGCUAGUUGGUGGGGUAAAGGCCUACCAAGGCGACGAUCCAUAGCUGGUCUAAGAGGAUGAUCAGCCACAUUGGGACUGAGACACGGCCCAAACUCCUACGGGAGGCAGCAGUGGGGAAUAUUGGACGAUGGGCGCAAGCCUGAUCCAGCCAUGCCGCGUGAGUGAUGAAGGCCCUAGGGUUGUAAAGCUCUUUCAGUGGGGACGAUAAUGACGGUACCCACAGAAGAAGCCCCGGCUAACUUCGUG